rnacentral:rRNA from 1 species
UACGUAGGGUGCAAGCGUUGUCCGGAAUUAUUGGGCGUAAAGGGCUCGUAGGCGGUCUGUCACGUCGGGAGUGAAAACUCGGGGCUUAACUCCGAGCCUGCUUCCGAUACGGGCAGACUAGAGGUAUGCAGGGGAGAAUGGAAUUCCUGGUGUAGCGGUGAAAUGCGCAGAUAUCAGGAGGAACACCGGUGGCGAAGGCGGGUCUCUGGGCCGAUACUGACGCUGAGGAGCGAAAGCGUGGGGAGCGAACAGG